GUCCUCACUUCGGCAGCACGUAUACUAAAAUUGGAACAAUACAGAGAAGAUUAGCUUGGCCCCUGCACAAGGAUGACAUGCAAAUUCGUGACACAUUCCAUAUUUUU
rnacentral:snRNA from 1 species